AAAACUUUAAAGAGAGAAGUUGAAAAUUAGCAAUGCAUCACCAAAAAAAUCCAAUAAUGUAGUACAGUGAAUAAAAGUCAUGUAUCAACUGUCUUUACAACAUGGACAGUUAAACAUUUUGUAAUUAAAUUAAAACAACAAAAUUGAAAACAAGCAGACUGAGAUGUCCUUCGACGAUGCUUGAUGACGUGGCAGCCGAGACAUGCAGCCUUCUAGGACGGAGCCUUAUUUAAAAAAAAAUAAUAAUAAUAAGGACGGAGCCUUAUUUAUUUUUAUUUUAUAUAUGUAUAAUGUCCCCCUUUGUAUUUCUUAUUAUUUAAAAAAAAUAUUAAAAAUAAUUUUAAAAGGACGCAGCUGUGCGUUUGAGAAACGACCGGAAACGACUUAUAUGUCGCGAGGCCAUCACGUGACCACAAUAUUUACCAGAAGACCGUUAUUUGCUCGAGUACCCUCAACUUUUUUGUCGCAAAUAACAUUAUUAAUAACCUGUAAAUAAUAAAUUUUGUACACAUUACGUUCCUCUUCACUUUGUAAUAGUAUGUUUUUUGGUUUAAUAGUCGGCUUUAAGUUAGUUUUCCUGUCAGUUUGAUCGUCAAAAUCUUGAAAGUUAUCUGCAGCCACACAUCCACUGUAUACCAAGUUAUGAUGAACAAUUAUGAAAAUGCAAAAGGAUUGAUAGAUCAGUAAACAAGCAACAAAAAGAUGGGUGCUCAUGGUGGCCUCCAAAUAAAUACAUGGACAGGCUGCUAAAGAGGGUCAGGAUGAUGGAGAUGCAAGAGCCAAAGACAGCACAGACCAAACACCAGGCCAGAAUUCUGCAUGAGUCAGCUGUAAAAAAAAAAAAAAGAAUGAAACAGUACCUGCAUUUAAGUUUCCAGCCUUUUUCACAAAGUUGCCGACAACUGGAAGAAUGUCCCAAAUUGCUGCAAAAAUAAAUUCAAUUGAGUAAUUUUCACUCUAGAGACCCUUGGGUGACCACCAAGGACGAAUGCAAACUCCAGUGAGUGUCUCUAAGGUAGAUCCUAAUGCAGAUGGAUGGAAUGUUGAUCCGCCUAACAUGCAAGAGCACUCGUUUUGAGUCCUGAGACCCUGGGGUGACCACCGUGAACAAAUACAGAAGCACUCAAUUUGAGUCCUGAGACCCUGGGGUGACCACCGUGAACAAAUACAGACUGCAAUAGCAGUCUUGACGGUACUAGGAUGAAUGCAAAUAAAGACUAACCACCUGACAUCAGCUGUCCAGUCUCUUGUGGGAAGCAGGUGCUUGUUACCCCAAAUACGGAUGAAGAGUGACGAAGAGGAAGAUGACUUU